rnacentral:rRNA from 1 species
AUUGAACGCUGGCGGCAGGCCUAACACAUGCAAGUCGAGCGGAUGAAGGGAGCUUGCUCCUGGAUUCAGCGGCGGACGGGUGAGUAAUGCCUAGGAAUCUGCCUGGUAGUGGGGGACAACGUUUCGAAAGGAACGCUAAUACCGCAUACGUCCUACGGGAGAAAGCAGGGGACCUUCGGGCCUUGCGCUAUCAGAUGAGCCUAGGUCGGAUUAGCUAGUUGGUGAGGUAAUGGCUCACCAUGGCGACGAUCCGUAACUGGUCUGAGAGGAUGAUCAGUCACACUGGAACUGAGACACGGUCCAGACUCCUACGGGAGGCAGCAGUGGGGAAUAUUGGACAAUGGGCGAAAGCCUGAUCCAGCCAUGCCGCGUGUGUGAAGAAGGUCUUCGGAUUGUAAAGCACUUUAAGUUGGGAGGAAGGGUUGCAGAUUAAUACCCUGCAAUUUUGACGUUACCGACAGAAUAAGCACCGGCUAACUCUGUGCCAGCAGCCGCAGUAACAC